AGCUUUGCGCAGUGGCAGUAUCGUAGCCAAUGAGGUUUAUCCGAGGCGCGAUUAUUGCUAAUUGAAAACUUCAUGGACGAUGGCA
rnacentral:snRNA from 1 species